rnacentral:tRNA from 1 species
GAGGGUGUAGCUCAGUGUUAGAGUGAGUGCUUAGCAUGUACCUGGUCCUGGGUUUAAUCCCAGUGCCUCCA